rnacentral:lncRNA from 1 species
AGAGGAGCUCCAGAGGCCUGAGUACGAUGGGGGGCAGCUGUCCAGCGACAUCUAGGGAAACCCAGCCCCCAGCAGCAGCAGGAACUCUUGGGGACAGUCUGUCUUGUUGCAAAGGCCAGCACAGCAAGCAGCCUCCACAUUAGUUCCACAGCUUGACUGGCUUCUAAAAUGGGCAUGUCAAGAUCCAGAAUCUCAAAGCAUCCCCUCUUUGGCUCCAUCAUCCAAGGGUGAGAAACAGCAGAACCUAAGUGGGAGUCUGAGUCAUCUUCUUGGUUCAGUUUUUAAAUGAAUUUUAAAUACCCUCAGUCAAAAGAAAAAUAGAAGGAGGCAGAAACAAAAGAUAUGAACCCAUCCCAAAGCUGUUGGGCACUGCCACUUCUGGAUGGCUCUAGUGCCAGCGGAGCCCCCAUUCACUUCCAUGUCAGACGUAAUUCUUGGUAGGGUACUCAGAG